GGUUUCCGUAGGUGAACCUGCGGAAGGAUCAUUGUCGAAUCCUGCCUAGCAGAAUGACCAGAGAA
rnacentral:rRNA from 2 species